GAGCCACCAUGCCCAGCCAAAAGCACAGUCUUAGAACUGAAUCUUGGGCUGCCAUAUUGUAUGUUAGAAUCAAGUCACUGGGUCUGGUCCACACUCAAAGGGGGAGGAAUAUUAAGCUUCAUCUGUUGAAGGCGGGGAUGUCAAAGCAUUUGUGGACAUCUUUCUAAACCACCAUGGUGAUAUUACCAAAUAUACGUAACUGAGUAUAAGAUACCUUUGGUGUUUUGCCGGGCGCGGUGGCUCACACCUGUAAUCCCAGCACUUUGG
rnacentral:lncRNA from 1 species